UCCUGGAUGAAAGUGGAAUAUAGAUUUUAAAAGUGUUUUCCAAUUGUUAUUUUCCUACAUUGCAUCAAGUGUUUAAUUGAGUAUUUAUAGGCAAUAAUUACUUCCCUUUUUCCUGCUGCUUUUCAUGCCUACCUGUAAAACCGAAAUUGAUUGGUAUUCACAAGUUUAAUUAUUUUGCUUCUUUUGACGUAGAAGUCACCAAAUAAGAAAAAUCUGUUUUCUGCAUUAAAUAUUUAUUAUUAUGACUUAGGUGUCAUGUGUCUGAUUUGUAUCUACAUGUUGAAGUCGUCAAUUUGAGUAAAUCAGGCCUGAUCAUUUAUUUCAAAAGAACGAAGGAAUGGAAUUGGUUGUCAUCUAUAAAUUCUUUUGGGACUAGAAAAAGUUGAACAGGUGAUAAGGAUGCUUAUUAUAUCACAAGUCCGAGUGAGGAAUCGUAGUGGCUAUGCAAUACUUGCAUAUAAUCAUCAAAGUUAUGGGUGUUAGAUAAAAGACGGAGAAGAGGAAGAAUACAUACUUUUUGAAGUAUAACUGUUGUGUAAUAUGAUUGAUAAUAAUUAGAUACAAAAACUAAGCUGUGUCCCUUUUUACACUAACCCAACCCCAAAUACUAAAUAAAUAGGGAAUAAGGAAAUAAAUCAUGAUAACAUCUAUAAGAAAUAUCUUUCCAAUGUUGUCAAUCACGGAAAAUAGUGGGUUUUUCAAAUUCCCUUGUGCCAUAACGCCGCUAUAGCUAUUAUUUGACACUUUGUUGUCAAUAGUACGCCAGCAGAAUAGCAUAGCGGUGCCAGCUUUCAGUGCGACUCUCUUGGCUUGCAAGCCGCCAUCACCAAUAGCUGUUGUUGCAGUCAGUGCGAUGCUCUGGGCCUGCCAGCCGCCAUCACCAAUAGCUGUUGUUGCAAUCGGUGCGACGCUCUUGGCCUGAGCCGCCAUCACCAAUAGCUGUUAAUGCAGUCACUAAUUAUGGCGAAAUUGCGGCAUCAAAUUCUUUUUUUAAAUGCGACACUCUUUUUCAAAUUCUUCUUCCUACCGUUAGUUCAGUUCUGCUAUGUUCUUUUUCUCUGCUUAAGUUUUAUUGCUUUGCAUUUCUGUUCGUUAACUACCAAGUAUGAUGGUCUCUUUAAUUUUGUGAUAUUUUUCUAUUUUUGAGAGUAUGUAUGUUUACUCUGUACACUGAUUUUUAGUCUUUGUAAUAGUAUCCUGACAUCCGCCAUAGCAUUUUAGAGGUUCAGUGCUACACAGGCUAUCUGAGAUUAACAACAUAUAUUUGACAACACCUUGUAUUAGAGUAUCAUGGAACAAUAGCGGGCUGUUCAACUUCUACUAUGCUAUACUGCCGAUAUAGCGGCUAUUUGACAUCUUUAAUGGAAACUUAUCUUAAGGUUAGAAUUUAAUCCUACGAGGUAAACUAAAUUAAUCUGACAUUAAAUAAAGAUAAUUUCAUAUAUACUCUUUACAAUAACCUGUCGAUGUAGGUUCAUCAGUAGGAUAUGUACCUAUGGCCUAUUUUGUUGACUUAGUUUAAUUGUAACAAUUGUUGACCAACCUUGAUUGACGGAUUUUCUUUUUAAUGACUUGUUCUAUAGUGGCCCAAACUUUGCAUAAAGAAUGUGAAUAACCUGUAGCUGGUUCUUUCGUUUUCCUUCAAUCAUGAUCAUACCCAACAGUUUUAGCUCAUAUCCUGGAAGGAGAAGAAAAGAAGAAUAGAGGAAGAAGAAGAAAAGAAGAAUAGAGGAAGAAGAAGAAAAGAUGAAUAGAGGAAGAAGAAAAGAAAAGAAAAA